AGGACGAACGCUGGCGGCGUGCUUAACACAUGCAAGUCGAGCGGAAAGGCCCUUCGGGGUACUCGAGCGGCGAACGGGUGAGUAACACGUGAGUAAUCUGCCCCUAGCUCUGGGAUAGGCUCCGGGAAACCGGGAUUAAUACCAGAUACAACCACUUUAGACAUCUCUUGUGGUGGAAAGAAUUUCGGCUAGGGAUGAACUCGCGGCCUAUCAGCUUGUUGGUGAGGUAACGGCUCACCAAGGCGACGACGGGUA
rnacentral:rRNA from 1 species